rnacentral:rRNA from 1 species
UACGUAGGGUGCAAGCGUUGUCCGGAAUUAUUGGGCGUAAAGAGCUCGUAGGCGGUCUGUCGCGUCGGCUGUGAAAUCCCGAGGCUCAACCUCGGGUCUGCAGUCGAUACGGGCAAACUAGAGUAUUGCAGGGGAGACUGGAAUUCCUGGUGUAGCGGUGAAAAUGCGCAGAUAUCAGGAGGAACACCGGUGGCGAAGGCGGAUCUCUGGGCCGUAACUGACGCUGGAGGAGCGAAAGCAUGGGGAGCGAACAGG